CCUACGGGGGGCAGCAGUGGGGAAUAUUGGACAAUGGGGGGAACCCUGAUCCAGCCAUGCCGCGUGUGUGAAGAAGGCCCUCGGGUUGUAAAGCACUUUCAGUGAGGAAGAACGCCUGGUGGUUAAUACCCAUCAGGAAAGACAUCACUCACAGAAGAAGCACCGGCUAACUCCGUGCCAGCAGCCGCGGUAAUACGGAGGGUGCGAGCGUUAAUCGGAAUUACUGGGCGUAAAGCGCGCGUAGGUGGCUUGAUAAGCCGGUUGUGAAAGCCCCGGGCUCAACCUGGGAACGGCACCCGGAACUGUCAAGCUAGAGUGCAGGAGAGGAAGGUAGAAUUCCCGGUGUAGCGGUGAAAUGCGUAGAGAUCGGGAGGAAUACCAGUGGCGAAGGCGGCCUUCUGGACUGACACUGACACUGAGGUGCGAAAGCGUGGGUAGCAAACAGGAUUAGAUACCCUGGUAGUC
rnacentral:rRNA from 1 species